rnacentral:rRNA from 1 species
CCUACGGGUGGCAGCAGUGAGGAAUAUUGGUCAAUGGACGAGAGUCUGAACCAGCCAAGUAGCGUGAAGGAUGACUGCCCUAUGGGUUGUAAACUUCUUUUAUAUGGGAAUAAAAUGUUCCACGUGUGGGAUUUUGUAUGUACCAUAUGAAUAAGGAUCGGCUAACUCCGUGCCAGCAGCCGCGGUAAUACGGAGGAUCCGAGCGUUAUCCGGAGUUAUUGGGUUUAAAGGGAGCGUAGGUGGAUUGUUAAGUCAGUUGUGAAAGUUUGCGGCUCAACCGUAAAAUUGCAGUUGAAACUGGCAGUCUUGAGUACAGUAGAGGUGAGCGGAAUUCGUGGUGUAGCGGUGAAAUGCUUAGAUAUCACGAAGAACUCCGAUUGCGAAGGCAGUUCACUGGACUGCAACUGACACUGAGGCUCGAAAGUGUGGGUAUCAAACAGGAUUAGAUACCCGAGUAGUC